AUAAAAUAAACUCAAAUCCAAAUUUAUAAGCGAUGGCUGUCCGUCUUGAUUACAGAACAUACUGUGGUUUUGGGAAUGAAUUAUAUGAAUUUAGAUUUUAUUUAUAUCAAACUGGAGCUACCAACAAAGGAGUCAGGUUUAUUGAAAAACACUGUGUACGUUGGAGUUGAACUGAAACUGUGGGCCAAAUAUGGUAAGUUUAACUGUAUUAGAUACAACCACAUUCACAAUAAUAGUACCAUAUCUACUAUGAUAAAAAUGUCUAUAAAUUAGCUAAUAGUAUGCUGCAAGCAAUAUUGAUUCCUGAAUUUAAUUUUGUAUAUUUAACCUGAUUGAAUUAGGUAAUUUAUAAUCUUACAUAUGUUUCCAUUAUUACAUAUUUUCCACUGAAUCAAAUAUAUAUUUCAUUCCUAUCAUAUAUAUUUUCUAGAUAUGGAAAAUGAAAAAUGCAGGACAAAAAAAUUUAUCAGCACAAGAUGUUUUUAAACACAUUGAAACAGUUUCGACAGCUCAAUAAAUGUAACAGUGUAUAUAUAUAUAUAUAUAUAUAUAUAUAUAUAUAUAUAUAUAUAUAUAUAUACAGUAUAAUUAUUUGGUUAUUUUUCAUUUUAAUUUAUAGAAAUUAUUUUUAUAACUAUUCAAUUAGCUGUUUUUUAUUCCUUUUAAAACAAGUUGAGCUAAUUAUUCAUUUUUCACGAUUAUUCCUUUAUUAGUAAUCAAAACAUGCAGUACUAUAAACUAAUGGAAUAGAUUCAGAGAUCUCCAAGGAUAGGCCAUUCUGUAGUUGUAUUGCCAAAUUUUUUUCUUCCGUCUAGAAUUUCUAGAAUGUAUUAAAGAGAAAAGGUGAGACAAAAAAACUCAAUUGAAACAAAAGAAAAAACAUGAAAGUUUAAUAAGAAAAAUGAUGGAUCUGAAAAAACAAGAGAGAUACAAAGAAUAAUAAUGGAUAAAGCAGAUUAAGGAAUUGGGAACAAAAAGAGAAAAACUUAUGAGUUGAGGAAAAGGACAAAUUAGUACCUUGAACCCUCAUCUGACACCUGAAAGGUAAAGAGAAGACUUCUAAAUUAAUAAUAAUGUUCAAUUUUUAUUUAGUGUACAAACUAUUAUACAAAGUAUUUCAAUAUAAUUUGAAAUUGAUGUA